ACAUAAAAGUGAUAUUAUACAGUAUUUAUCUUUCUGUCUGACCUAUUUCACUUAGCAUUCCUGAUUUCCUCUUUCUCACCUUAUUCUGUCAGUUUGUUGAAGUGUACAUCUGAUACCUUCUUGAGCACGGUGCAUGGGAGACACAGAAGAACACAAGAUGGCAGAGUAGGAAGACCCUUAGCUUACCUCCUCUCCCAGGCACACUAAAAUCACAACUAUUAGCAAAACAACUAAUGAUGAAAAAGACUGAAAUCUACCAGAAAAGAUCUUCUAUAACUAAAGACAUACAGAAGUAAUCACAAAGAGACAGACAGAGGGGGGUGGAUUCAUGAUACAGUCAAGUCCCACACCCCCAGGUGGUAACUCACAAACUGAAGAAUAAUUACACUCAGAGGUUCUCCCAAAGAAAUGCGAGUUCUGAGCCCCAGAGAGAGCUCCCCAGCUUGGAGUCCAGCAUCAGGAAAAUAAGCCCCCAGAGUAUAUGGUUUUGAAGGCAAGCAGGACUUACUUUCGAGAGUCUCAUAAGAAUGUGGGAAAGAGACCCUACUCCUAAAUGCCACACACACAAAAUCCCCUACACUCCAGGACCUAGGCCAGUAAGAAAAAAUUGAUAGGAGCCUGGGUCAGACCUACCUGCUGAUCUUGAAGAGGCAAGAGGCAACUGCAGCUCACCCUAGGGACAUAGACACUGGCAGCAGCCAUUCUUAGGAGAUCCAUCUACUACAUGGACACUGACGCUGGCAAGUGCCAUUGUGUAAUCCUCCUUCUAGCUUAUUAGCCCCAGGGCCUAGCCCUGCCCUAGCCCAACAGCCUGUAGGCAACAGUGCUGGGACAUCUUGGGCCAAAUAACUACCUGGGUGAUGAUAUAGCCCCACCCAUUAUCAGGUUUCCUUAAGACUCCUUGAGCCCACAGCUACCUCUGGACACAGAGCUCUGCCCACCAGAGAGCCCAGCACCCAAUUCCAUCCACUGGUGGGCAGGCACCAUUCCCAGAACCCCCUGAGCCUUGACCCUACUCUCUCAGGAGCACGCUAUAGCCUUUGGACCAGCCUCACCCACUAGAGGGAGAUAAGAGAGGCAAGAAAACCAUACUCCUGGAGCCUGCUGACCCAGCUUGCCCACCAGUAAGUCAAACCCUACCCUGGAACCAGCUAGACCCCAACCCUGCCAAUAAGCAGGCCAAUCCAAGCUUCAGGAACCCCUGGUCUUAUCCCAACUGUGUCAGGAGCCAGCAUCCCUCACAAGUGAUCCAACAUCAGCUCUCAGACCCCUGAGCCCUGCCACCAGACUCCAGGACCCAGCUCUGCCCACCAGUAGCCCAGCAUUAACACCAGGAUCUGGCUUCACUCACUGGUGGGCAGGCAACAGUCCCUGGAGUUUUCUGGACCCUGACUUUGCCCACUAGUGAGCCAGCACUAGCUCUGGGGCCCCCUGAGGUUCCUAAGUCAGCUGCCUCAUAACCUGGUCUCACCAACCAGUGGACAACAGCCCCUGCACAAGGCAGUGACUGGAUUCUUUAUAUUUUUCAUCUCAUGAUUGAUUAUUCUACUAUCAUUUAUAAUUAUUAUCCAAGUGUAUGAAGCUACUCUCUUAGAAAGGACUUCCUAGAUAGUUCAAAGAAUUGUGCCCAUGUUGUUCUGUGGAAUACUGAUUCAAGGACAUAUUAACAGAUGUGCCAUGUGAGGAUAUAAAUUUUAAAAGCAUAGAAAUUCCAGUCUCUCAUUAGAAGAUUCACAGUGCACAUCAAUAUAUUAAAAGCUCCAAGAAAUCCUGUGUGGGGAGAGGGUGAUUUUUAACACCUAAAUCUCCAAACAGUUUGUCACAGAAUACUUUCUUUAUGGCAAGUAAAUAACCUUUAGAACAGCGGUUCUUGAGUGGCAACAGUUUGAGAGAUUUCUUCUAAAGAAUAGGAACUGUCUUCUUAGGAAGAUACAGAACCAAAUAGAGUGAAAUUAUGAUAGGCCUUGGAGUCAGAUGUCAUCAGAUCAAACAGUUAUGACUAUCAUUACAGGAAGGUUCUUUAACCUCUCUGAAGAUUAUAAAGACUGUCUCAUAGGUAUAAGGUGCUCAACAGAUACUGGUUUUGCUUUUCCCACUUUAUAAUCUCCUCCUAUACUCUGAGUAUAGACUAAGUACUGGACUCUGGGCCCAGCUGGGGCUGACCAUCCUUUAAACAAGUGGUGUGCCUAGCUGGUAGCACCUGUGCUUUCUGAGGAGUCAGGUGGGGCACAGUGAUAUUGAGACUAGGUAGAAGAUAAGUGGGGAAGUGGUUAUUCCUCCCACACAUUCUCACAUGUUGCAAAAUGCAGCUGGUGCUUAUUCUCUCAAGAGAAAGCUACUAGCACGCAUACCAAUGAAAAUAAGUUUCUGUAUCUUGCUUGGCAUGGGGGCCUUAACUACUGACCCCUACUAAGGGAGCUAAGGAAGGAAGAAAUUCUCUCCUUUUUCUGUGAAAUAAUCACAAAAUUGGUCUGAUGCAUUAAGGUCAAUAUUUUCAACCAUUAUACCUGAAGAUUUCUCUAGGCUAUAAGAAUAGUAACAUCUAUAGGAUUUUUCUAUAUGAAAUUAUCCAAAGCUAGUUGCAAAUCAAAAUGAUGAACAAGUACUAAAACUUAUGACUUUCAUAAAGUCGUGAACAUACAUGUUUUCUCACAAAUUUUAAACAGAUGAGUUUUAACUGAACGGCCUUUUAUAUCACUUUCCUCAUUUUGCUUUGUCCUAAGAAAUGACUACAACGGACAAACAUUUAGGUGAAAGGCAUGUCCUGAUUAGAAUGAAGCUUAUCUCUCCAAGACUAUCAGUGCGCUGUACCCUUUUCCCCAUCCUACCUGCCACUUUUCUCCUCUACCCAUGGCCAAGGAUGAGCCAAAGCACAUACCAUGUAAACUGUCUGUUCUUUAGAAAAAAAUCCACUUAGUCAAUUAACCUCACAGAUCAAACAUAGUUUCAUAAAGAUCACAACAAAUAGAGAAAUAUAGGUGAAAAUGUGAAAAGACUGCAAAUUAAAUGUUUAAAAAAUAAGAUUACAUCUUUCUGUUGGCAAUCAAGAGUAAUGACAUGGGAUCCAGAACUUACAUAUUUCCAGGGGAUAAAUCUGAACCCAAUUUCAGAAAAAUUGCUGCUAGUAGGCUGCCUCCAGGUGGCACGGAUGCCUGGGUUGUCAACGCACACAGAAAAGAUAAGAAAAUAACCCAGUAAUGUUAUUCAUACUUUUUCUCUCUCUUCCUUUGAUUUCUUCUUUCUUUGAUUUCCUCUCUCCUCCUUCCUCUUUCCUUCUCUUCUUCCCUUUCUCUUUUCCUUCCUUCUCUCCCUUCUCCUUCUCUCCCUUCCCCUCCUCACCCCCUUCUUUCUCUCUCUUUCUUUUUGUAAAGAGAAUAUGAAGCAGUUCCAGAUGGUGAGCAAGUGGCCAGACUCAAACAAGUUGCUAGGCUUGCUGGCAUGAAGAGAACCUGCUUCGUGGUGACACACAAGUACAGAAUCCCCACAGUCCUGCUUCCUGGUGAAACUGGAAAGAACAAACCAACAAUAGAGAAAUGAGUACUGUAAUUUAUCUUGGAGGCCAUUUAGGUUGUUUAUCCCAAACUACAUUUUGAUUCCAGUUACAGUUUAAUUAUGAGUAUUUGUUCUCUAACAGAGACUAAACAAAGGGUAACUAUUUUCUUUUAUCUUUUUCUUUGUUAUGAAAAUUUCAGUUUCAUGUUUGCCUCUCCUCUCUCCUUAAAUAGAGUCUCAUGCUAUGUAAACGCAUUCAGCUCAAUUUCUUCUCAUUCGGCUGAAGUCUCUAAAACAAACCAACAACAAGAAAGCACAGAACUUUUUACAUAUAAGAAAUGUGUGACUUAAUAAUGCCUUAUGUUAUUUCUUUAAGCUUUUAUUGCAUAUAUGUGAUAGGUCCCUUCAGUUAUGAAGAUGUCUCCCAAGUCUCUCUGGGCAUCAAAUUCACAACAUGAAUUUUCAGAGUGAAGGAAACCCAUUGAGUCUAGACACCCAUCUCCAGCAAUAACUGGCAAGCUGCUUUUGUUUCUGAUCAUGGAAUGGGAAACUGUAAAGAUACAGGAGUGUGGGUUGGGCUCAUUCUCUUCUGUGUGCUGCACACAGCUUCUGUCCCAGGCCAGCAGUGGCAGAUUUGCCUUGUCGCAGAGUGCAUACUCUAGUUACAGAACAUGUUCAGUAUCUGCUUUUGCAACUGUUCAAAGGUUACUUUCAAUACAUAAUUUGUAUUAAGUAUAUUGCUGAAGAGCUUUUUCUUCUAUCUAAACACUGUGCACUGUGCUUGUUGCUGCUUUCUGUGGUGGGAAAUCAUGUUUUCCUCUCUAUGUGCUAUAGAUAAACCCUUUGAGACUUGCUCAGCCAUUUCUGGUUCCAGCUAAAUAAUAGUGAUGAAGACUGUAUGAUAACCAG
rnacentral:lncRNA from 1 species